CCAAUAGCGUAUAUUAAAGUUGUUGCAGUUAAAAAGCUCGUAGUUGAAUUUUGGAUUCUGCCAAUUGGUCCAUCUUUUAGAUGAGUACUGGUUGUGUGGGGUCUAUCCGCCUGGUAAUACGUAGUGUCCUUUAUUGGAUGUUGCGGGUAGCCAGGACCUUUACCUUGAAAAAAUUAGAGUGUUUAAAGCAGGCUUAUGCCGGAAUACAUUAGCAUGGAAUAAUAGAAUAGGACGAAGUUGUUUUAUUUUGUUGGUUUCUAGGACAACCGUAAUGAUUAAUAGGGAUAGUUGGGGGCAUUAGUAUUCAAUUGUCAGAGGUGAAAUUCUUGGAUUUAUUGAAGACUAACUACUGCGAAAGCAUUUGCCAAGGAUGUUUUCAUUAAUCAAGAACGAAAGUUAGGGGAUCGAAGACGAUCAGAUACCGUCGUAGUCUUAACCAUAAACUAUGCCGACUAGGGAUCGGGCGAUGUUGUUUCCAUGACUCGCUCGGCACCUUAUG
rnacentral:rRNA from 1 species